rnacentral:rRNA from 1 species
GAACUUGAGUGCAGAAGAGGAGAGUGGAAUUCCACGUGUAGCGGUGAAAUGCGUAGAGAUGUGGAGGAACACCAGUGGCGAAGGCGACUCUCUGGUCUGUAACUGACGCUGAGGAGCGAAAGCGUGGGGAGCGAACAGGAUUAGAUACCCUGGUAGUCCACGCCGUAAACGAUGAGUGCUAAGUGUUAGGGGGUUUCCGCCCCUUAGUGCUGCAGCUAACGCAUUAAGCACUCCGCCUGGGGAGUACGGUCGCAAGACUGAAACUCAAAGGAAUUGACGGGGGCCCGCACAAGCGGUGGAGCAUGUGGUUUAAUUCGAAGCAACGCGAAGAACCUUACCAGGUCUUGACAUCCUCUGACAAUCCUAGAGAUAGGACGUCCCCUUCGGGGGCAGAGUGACAGGUGGUGCAUGGUUGUCGUCAGCUCGUGUCGUGAGAUGUUGGGUUAAGUCCCGCAACGAGCGCAACCCUUGAUCUUAGUUGCCAGCAUUCAGUUGGGCACUCUAAGGUGACUGCCGGUGACAAACCGGAGGAAGGUGGGGAUGACGUCAAAUCAUCAUGCCCCUUAUGACCUGGGCUACACACGUGCUACAAUGGACAGAACAAAGGGCAGCGAAACCGCGAGGUUAAGCCAAUCCCACAAAUCUGUUCUCAGUUCGGAUCGCAGUCUGCAACU